rnacentral:tRNA from 1 species
AUAGCUCAUUGGUAGAGCACGUGCUUAUCAUGUACUAGGUCCUGGGUUCAAUUCCUAGU